GUCAGGAUGGCCGAGCGGUCUAAGGCGCCAGACUCAAGGUUCACCCCUUCUCCGCUAGACGGAGCUGAGGCUUCUGGUCCUCUAUGAGGGCGUGGGUUCAAAUCCCACUUCUGACA
rnacentral:tRNA from 1 species